UACAGAGGGUGCAAGCGUUGUCCGGAAUCACUGGGCGUAAAGGGCGCGUAGGCGGCCUGAUAAGUAGGGGGUGAAAUCCUGGGGCUUAACCUCAGGGCUGCCUUCUAGACUGUCCGGCUCGAGCACAGUAGAGGCAGGUGGAAUUCCCGGUGUAGCGGUGGAAUGCGUAGAGAUCGGGAAGAACAUCGGUGGCGAAGGCGGCCUGCUGGGCUGUUGCUGACGCUGAGGCGCGACAGCGUGGGGAGCAAACGGG
rnacentral:rRNA from 1 species